rnacentral:tRNA from 1 species
AUUUAAAUAGCUUAAUAUAGAGUGCAGUAUUGAAGAUACUGAGGUAAUAUUGUAUAUUUUUAAAUG